rnacentral:lncRNA from 1 species
UUAGUUGGGGGUUAAGGGGUGGAAUAACCCCUUAAUCCCUAUUUUAUCCCCAAACACUCCAAAAAAUGGGUGGGGUUAGCUAACCCACCUCAAAUAAAUUAUCCCGGUUAGCUAACCCCACCUAACCCCACCAAAUUCCAACCAAAUAUUAUUUUCUAUUCAUAAUAACCCACUAUCUUUCUUAUCACACCUAUUCCAACCAAUCAUUAUCCUUCUUUAUCAAUCAUUAUCUUCUUAUCCCACCUACUCCAACCAAACAUUAUUUUUCAUUAUUCUAGACUAACUCCAACCCCCAACCAAAUACAAAAAAACUUUAACCCCAUUUUAACCCUGAACUUAACUUUAUUCCUGGAAUAGCUACUUUUUCCUUAACCCCGAACCAAAUGGAGGCUUAGACUUCUCUAAUGAAUGACGACACUAUCAAAUAACAAUAGAGAAAUGAUUCGAUAUUUUAUUUUAUAAAAAGUAAAAAAAUCUUAACCGUUAAUUAAUAAAGGUUAAAAAUAUCAUUUCAUUAUGUAACAGGUUAAAAGGUUAUUUCAUAUGAGGGUAUUUUUGUAACAAAACUAGACAAAAUUUUUAAAAAAUUUCGAUUAAUAUCCCAAAUUUACCAUUAAUUUUGUAACUAAUUUAAACAUUAAUUUAAAAUU